ensembl:snoRNA
GGCCUCCAGUUCCCUUAUCCAUUAGAACAAAACACUGGUGUGGGUGGUCUUAAAAGGAGGAAAAGACACAUUGAAGCUGCCCCUUCAGUGAUCUUGGAGCUCGGGCUAGUCUUAAAUUGGG